CGAACGCUGGCGGCGUGCUUAACACAUGCAAGUCGACCGGAAAGGCCCUGCUUGCAGGGUACUCGAGUGGCGAACGGGUGAGUAACACGUGGGUGAUCUGCCCUGCACUUCGGGAUAAGCCUGGGAAACUGGGUCUAAUACCGGAUAGGAGCCAUUUUUAGUGUGAUGGUUGGAAAGUUUUUUCGGUGCAGGAUGAGCUCGCGGCCUAUCAGCUUGUUGGUGGGGUAAUGGCCUACCAAGGCGGCGACGGGUAGCCGGCCUGAGAGGGUGGACGGCCACAUUGGGACUGAGAUACGGCCCAGACUCCUACGGGAGGCAGCAGUGGGGAAUAUUGCACAAUGGGCGCAAGCCUGAUGCAGCGACGCCGCGUGGGGGAUGACGGCCUUCGGGUUGUAAACUCCUUUCGCUAGGGACGAAGCUUUUUGUGACGGUACCUAGAUAAGAAGCACCGGCUAACUACGUG
rnacentral:rRNA from 1 species